rnacentral:rRNA from 1 species
UGGGGAAUAUUGGACAAUGGGCGAAAGCCUGAUCCAGCAAUGCCGCGUGUGUGAUGAAGGCCUGCGGGUUGUAAAGCACUUUUGUUGAGGAAGAAAUACUCAAAGCUAAUACCUUUGAGGGUUGACGUUACUCAAAGAAAAAGCACCGGCUAACUCUGUGCCAGCAGCCGCGGUAAUACAGAGGGUGCAAGCGUUAAUCGGAGUUACUGGGCAUAAAGGGCGCGUAGGCGGACACUUAAGUCGGAUGUGAAAUCCCUGGGCUUAACCUAGGAAUUGCAUUCGAUACUGGGUGUCUAGAGUAUGGUAGAGGAAAGUGGAAUUCCCGGUGUAGUGGUUAAAUACGUAGAUAUCGGGAGGAACACCAGUGGCGAAGGCGGCUUUCUGGUCCAAUACUGACGCUGAGGCGCGAAAGCGUGGGGAUCAAACAGG